GAUGAACGCUCGCGAUAGGCUUAACACAUGCAAGUCGAGGGGCAGCACAAGGUAGCUUGCUAUCUGGGUGGCGACCGGCGCACGGGUGCGUAACGCGUAUGCAACUUGCCCUAUACAGGAGGAUAACCCGUCGAAAGACGGACUAACACUGCGUAUGCUCACAACUUGGCAUCAAGUGGUGAGGAAAGAAAUUCGGUAUAGGAUAGGCAUGCGUCCCAUUAGCUUGUUGGUGAGGUAACGGCUCACCAAGGCAACGAUGGGUAGGGGAACUGAGAGGUUUAUCCCCCACACUGGUACUGAGACACGGACCAGACUCCUACGGGAGGCAGCAGUGAGGAAUAUUGGUCAAUGGGCGCGAGCCUGAACCAGCCAAGUCGCGUGAAGGAUGACUGUCCUAUGGAUUGUAAACUUCUUUUAUACGGGAAUAACAAGAGUCACGUGUGACUCCCUGCAUGUACCGUAUGAAUAAGCAUCGGCUAACUCCGUG
rnacentral:rRNA from 1 species